rnacentral:lncRNA from 1 species
CUGCCGCUCCUCUUUGCUAGGGUAUAUCUUGAUAUGAUCUUCCAUUUUCUCUGUUAUGCUGACGGCUUCUGGUACUUCAUCAGGUUGCGGGACUGCGUCUCUGGAGAUGUCCUCUGCUUCAGGUAUGUGGAGCUUGGUGACCUCAUGGAGUAAUACGUUAAAUUCCUUGCUUGUGCUUCUUCUAUGCUCAUGUAUCUCUAUACAUUGUACUUCCCUACAAUUUUCUUCAGAUACUUCAGAUGCACUUCUGAAAGCUACUUCCUUCAUGUUAUAUGACUCUGUGCCAUCAGAGCUAUAGUUACUAGGAGGGUGCCAAGGUGAAAUUGGCUUCCGAACCUUUGUUUGCUG